rnacentral:rRNA from 1 species
UGAGGAAUAUUGGGCAAUGCCCGCAAGGGUGACCCAGCAACGCCGCGUGGAGGAUGAAUGUCGUAAGAUUGUAAACUCCUGUUAGAGGGGAAGAAUAGUACCGGUUGGACCGGUAUAUGACUGUACCCUCAGAGAAAGCCCCGGCUAACUACGUGCCAGCAGCCGCGGUAAUACGUAGGGGGCAAGCGUUGUCCGGAUUUACUGGGUGUAAAGGGCGCGCAGGCUGGAUAAAAAGUCAGUGGUGAAAUCCUACAGCUUGACUGUAGAACUGCCUUUGAUACUUUUAUUCUUGAGUUCGGGAGAGAGAGACGGAAUUCCAGGUGUAGGGGUGAAAUACGUAGAUAUCUGGAAGAACACCAGUUGCGAAGGCGGUCUCUUGGUCCGACACUGACGCUGAGGCGCGAAAGCGUGGGGAGCAAAC